rnacentral:rRNA from 1 species
CCUACGGGUGGCAGCAGUGAGGAAUAUUGGUCAAUGGGCGGGAGCCUGAACCAGCCAAGUCGCGUGAGGGAAGACGGUCCUAUGGAUUGUAAACCUCUUUAGGCGGGGAGCAAUGCCGGGCACGCGUGCCCGGAGGGAGAGUACCCGCAGAAUAAGCAUCGGCAAACUCCGUGCCAGCAGCGGCGGUAAUACGGAGGUUGCGGGGGUUAUCCGGUUUGAUUGGGUUUAAAGGGUGCGGAGGCGGAUUUUUAAGUCAGCGGUAAAUUGUCCGGGCUCAACCCGGGCCGGCCGUUGAAACUGGGGAUCUUGAGUGGGCGGAAAGUAUGCGGAAUUCGUGGUGUAGCGGUGAAAUGCAUAGAUAUCACGCAGAACUCCGAUUGCGAAGGCAGCAUACCGGCGCCCGACUGACGCUGAGGCACGAAGGCCAGGGGAGCGAAAGGGAUUAGAUACCCCUGUAGUC